rnacentral:rRNA from 1 species
UACGUAGGGUGCAAGCGUUGUCCGGAAUUAUUGGGCGUAAAGAGCUCGUAGGCGGUUUGUUGCGUCGGCUGUGAAAACCUGGGGCUCAACCCCGGGCGUGCGGUGGAUACUGCCGGGCUAGAGGGUGGUAGAGGCGAGUGGAAUUCCCGGUGUAGCGGUGAAAUGCGCAGAUAUCGGGAGGAACACCAAUAGCGAAGGCAGCUCGCUGGGACGGUACUGACGCUAAGGCGCGAAAGCGUGGGGAGCGAACAGG